rnacentral:rRNA from 1 species
AACGAACGCUGGCGGCAUGCCUAACACAUGCAGGUCGAACGAGACCUUCGGGGCUAGUGGCGCACGGGUGCGUAACGCGUGGGAACCUGCCCUUAGGUUCGGAAUAACUCCCCGAGAGGGGUGCUAAUACCGGAUAAUGUCUUCGGACCAAAGAUUUAUCGCCUUUGGAUGGGCCCGCGUUGGAUUAGCUAGUUGGUAGGGUAAAAGCCUACCAAGGCGACUAUCCAUAGCUGGUCUGAGAGGAUGAUCAGCCACACUGGGACUGAGACACGGCCCAGACUCCUACGGGAGGCAGCAGUGGGGAAUAUUGGACAAUGGGCGAAAGCCUGAUCCAGCAAUGCCGCGUGAGUGAUGAAGGCCUUAGGGUUGUAAAGCUCUUUUACCCGGGAUGAUAAUGACAGUACCGGGAGAAUAAGCUCCGGCUAACUCCGUG